UUCAUUCAUACCUUUUGCUUUGUACAUUUUUCGCCUAACAGUGAACACUUUCAGGUUGAAGAUGUGGCUGAUGCACAGUCUCUGAUGUUGUUGGCUGAUGAAGUUAUAAACUGUGGAUACACAAGCCAGAUCAAGCUGGAUAAUAAGGAAAACAUCAUUCAGUAACAAAAACAACUGCCAUUUAAAUAUUUUUACUUUUUAAACCAAUAUUUGAUUUUUGUGUUCUUUCUUUCAUAGUCCUAUUGUCUUGCACUCUACAACAAGACUGAUUCCAAUGCUUCAGCAAAUGAGAAAGGGCAUGGAGCUGUAUGGUCUGGUCAAUCAGAUGGCUACAAAUCCUGAAGCUUGCCAUGCUUUGUUCCAGGGAAGAUCAUCAAACCAGAUGCUGAUUUCAUAAUGAUGAACUGCCAACCACAUUUCAGUGAAAAGGGGACAUCUCGGGAGAGAACUGAGAGAAAGAUCAUAAACUUUAUGUAAGAUUUUUGCCAGGAGCUUGAAAUAUCAGGUGAGGAGGAAGACAGUGCUGCAGCUGAGGAGUCACACUCUCUUGGAGUUCAGCAUGUGCUCCAAUGGUUGACCGGGCAAUCCCACAUUCCCAUCCUCCCUGAUGAAAAGAGACAUUUUAAAAUAACAUGCAUGUUUGACCAUGACUGCAGGGAGCGGCUUGGAAAUCACUCCAUUUGUUACCCAUUUGUGAGUUCAUGCACUCGUACAGUAAUUUUUCCAGUACAGCAUCUCAACACUUACACUGAGUUCAGAAGAAUUAUGAGUGAAGCAGUUAGAUAUGGUGGUGGCUUAUACAGAGUUUAACAGAAAUAGCUCUCUUGUCAUCUUAAACAAAAAAUAAGAUGUUUCUAAACAUUAACUGAUAGAAUGUUCAUUGCUAACGAAAAAAGCAAAACAAUUGUUCCCGUUAGCCCAGACAGUGUUUGACUUUCUUUCUCUUCAGUCAUAUAAAUUCCCUUUAUACAGGGUUCUCUGCUUGCAUUAGUUAGAAAAGCUUCAAUAAUUUUUGUCACUGUGCUGGAAGUCCAUAUUUGUUGACUUUCAAGUUCCUGUCCAAAUGUCUAUUGGUUGGACACCUGUUGCAAGAAUCUUAUGUAUAAAUCACGACCAUGUGACUCUGAAUGUUCCAGAGGGUUGAUAGUUCUCUGAAGUUCUUCCAGGGCUUCGUUAUACAGUGGGCACUCAACUUCAGGAACCACAACUAUGCCGUUAGAGUCUUCUUGCAGCACAGCACUCUCCCAGUCAAUGCCUGGGUCCUGAAGAUCCUUUAAAUUCAGAAAACAAAACAUAUCAGUCAGGACUGGAUACUUGUUGAGAUAUUGUUUUUGUGUUUGUGUGAGUGUUU